UCCCUUAGUACGGCGAGUGACUGGGAAAGAGCUCAAAUUUUAAAUCACCUAGGUUUACCUGGGCGAGUUGUAAUUUGAAGAAAGUGCUUUGAUGCUCUGGUUUUGUCUAAAUCCUUUGGGAUAAGGUAUCAUAGAGGGUGAGAAUCCCGUUCAUGAUUUAAACCCUGGGUGUCACCUAAUUCACUUUCUAAGAGUCGAGUUGUUUGGGAUUGCAGCUCAAAAUGGGUGGUAAAUUUCACCUAAGGCUAAAUAURUGCAAGAGACCGAUAGCGAACAAGUACCGUGAGGGAAAGAUGAAAAGAACUUUGAAAAGAGAGUUAAAUAGUACGUGAAAUUGUUGAAAGGGAAACGAUUGAAGUCAGUCAUGCUUGCAGGGAAUCAGCAAUGGUGGUUUAUUCUUCCUUGUGCACUUUCUUGCUUGGCAGGUUAGCAUCAAUUUCGAUUGUCAUUAAAGAAUUGGGGGAAUGUGGCUUCUUCGGGAGUGUUAUAGACCCUGGUAGAUGUGGCGAUCGGGAUUGAGGAUUGCAGCGAAUGCUUUUUGGCUAGUCACCUGGCUUCUGAUAGUCGCCUUGCUUCCGAUAGCUUGCUAAUGGUGGUGAGACUCGAUUGUCUAGAAGUUAGAGUGAUCAUAAAUUCGCUAAGGAUG
rnacentral:rRNA from 1 species